UAUCUACUCCCUCCGUUCGGAAUUACUUGUCGCAGAAAUGGAUGUAUCUAGACGUAUUUUAGUUCUAGAUACAUCCAUAUCCGAGACAAGUAUUUUCGAACGGAGCGAAAAUGGC
rfam:Triticum urartu cultivar G1812 contig78945, whole genome shotgun sequence.